UACGUAGGGUGCAAGCGUUGUCCGGAAUUAUUGGGCGUAAAGAGCUCGUAGCGGUUUGUCGCGUCUGCUGUGAAAACUCGGGGCUCAACUCCGAGCUUGCAGUGGGUACGGGCAGACUAGAGUGCGGUAGGGGAGACUGGAAUUCCUGGUGUAGCGGUGGAAUGCGCAGAUAUCAGGAGGAACACCGGUGGCGAAGGCGGGGUCUCUGGGCCGUAACUGACGCUGAGGAGCGAAAGCAUGGGGAGCGAACAGG
rnacentral:rRNA from 1 species